UUCCGUGUGCCUUGUUCCCCUGCUCUCUGUUCCUCUCUGUUGCGAGCAAGCUGAAAGAUUGGUCUGAUUUGUUUUGAUCUCUGCUGCCAGGGGCCUUAGGGCAAUGUCAGCGAUCUACAACGUGGCGACAUGGCUCAGUCGCGUUGCAGCCGAAGCUGACCUGCCGGAGUUCCUCUGAGGCAAGGCUGGACACUGCAAUCAGGUAUUUAGAGCCUCCUCUUAAAAGACAGGGGAUUAAGCUAAACCAGGCAUGGUUAUACAUGCCUAUAUUCAUGGUGCUUACAAAGUGAGGACACCAGGAUUUCACAGUCAUCCAAGUCAAAAGUGUUCAUCAGGGUGUGUUGCAAGGUCCAGAGAGCCAAGGCCCACUGUGAUUGUCUCAGGAAAUUUGCCACAGUCUUCGCUGCAGCUCUAGAAGUUCGGGUUCCUGACACCAGUUUAAGAUGAUCAUCCUGAGGGCUGGCAAUAUGACUCAGUGGGUAAGAGCACUGACUGCUCUUAUGAAGGUCCUGAAUUCAAAUCCUAGCAACAUGGUGGCUCACAACCACCCGAAGUGAGAUCUAACACCCUCUUUUGGUGCGUCUGAAGUCAGCUACAGUGUACUUAUUUAUAAUAAUAAAUAAAUCUUAAAAA
rnacentral:lncRNA from 1 species